GAUUAUAUAGUUAAAUUAAUAAUAAGCAGCUUGAAACUGCUAGUUGGUUUAGGGCCUAUUUCUA
rnacentral:tRNA from 1 species